rnacentral:snRNA from 2 species
AUACCUUUCUCGGCUUUUUGGCUAAGAUCAAGUGUAGUAUCUGUUCUUAUCAGUUUAAUAUCUGUUCUUAUCAGUUUAAUAUUUGAUAUGUGGGUCAUCGGCCCGCUCGAUAUUAACUCUAUUUAUUAAGGGAGAAGGUCCACCAAGAUAGCUUGUAUCUGGGCUUUCGCGAGUCGCCCAUGCGUUGCACUACUGCACGGGCUGGCGCCAAUCAC